rnacentral:tRNA from 1 species
AGGCCCAUAGGUUAAUGGUAGACCAGAGGACUCCAAAUCCUCUAGUGGGGGUUCGAUUCCCUCUGGGCCUGCCA